rnacentral:lncRNA from 1 species
CCUGCAACUCCAAUGGCUAUGCCUUCGAAGACGGAAUGGAAGCAGAGGGCGAGAAUGAGCAGCAGCGUAUCCCCCGCGGAGCUCGUCCUCACGAGGCUCGGAUGAGGAUGGAAACCUCGCUCCUCUGCGGUCUGCCCUUCUGCCACCUCCACCUUCGCCUCGCUCGCGUUUCUCUGAAUGACGUACAUGAUGGCGCAGUCUCCCAGCAUGGUGAGGAGAUACCCCGCGGCGGCGAGCAUGUAGACGAAGGGGUACGCCUUGGGCGUGAGGUCGGCGAUGGUCUCGUCGGCGUCGGGGAG